rnacentral:tRNA from 1 species
GGUAAAAUGGCUGAGUAAAGCAAUAGACUGUAAAUUUAAGAACAGAGGUUUAAUUCCUCUUUUUACCA